rnacentral:rRNA from 1 species
AUUGAACGCUGGCGGCAUGCCUUACACAUGCAAGUCGAACGGUAACAGGUUAAGCUGACGAGUGGCGAACGGGUGAGUAAUAUAUCGGAACGUGCCCAGUCGUGGGGGAUAACGUAGCGAAAGCUACGCUAAUACCGCAUACGAUCUACGGAUGAAAGCGGGGGAUCGCAAGACCCCGCGCGAAUGGAGCGGCCGAUAUCAGAUUAGGUUGUUGGUGAGGUAAAAGCCCACCAAGCCUGCGAUCUGUAGCUGGUCUGAGAGGACGACCAGCCACACUGGAACUGAGACACGGUCCAGACUCCUACGGGAGGCAGCAGUGGGGAAUUUUGGACAAUGGACGCAAGUCUGAUCCAGCAAUGCCGCGUGCAGGACGAAGGCCUUCGGGUUGUAAACUGCUUUUGUACGGAACGAAACGGUGAGCUCUAAUACAGUUUGCUAAUGACGGUACCGUAAGAAUAAGCACCGGCUAACUACGUGCCAGCCGCCGCAGUAA